UCAGGAUGAACGCUGGCGGCGUGCUUAACACAUGCAAGUCGAACGAGGCACCUUGCAGAAGUUUCGGAUGGAAGCGGAGGCGACCGAGUGGCGGACGGGUGAGUAACGCGUGGGGAACCUGCCCCAUUCCGGGGAUACCAGUUGGAAACGACUGUUAAUACCGCAUAAGCGCACGGAAGGACAUCCUUUUGUGUGAAAAACUGAGGUGGAAUGGGAUGGCCCCGCGUCUGAUUAGCCAGUUGGCAGGGUAACGGCCUACCAAAGCGACGAUCAGUAGCCGGCCUGAGAGGGCGACCGGCCACAUUGGGACUGAGACACGGCCCAAACUCCUACGGGAGGCAGCAGUGGGGAAUAUUGCACAAUGGGGGAAACCCUGAUGCAGCCGACGCCGCGUGAGUGAAGAAGUAUUUCGGUAUGUAAAGCUCCAUCAGCAGGGAAGAAGAUGACGGUACCUGCACAAGAAGCCCCGGCUAACUACGUGCCAGCAGCCGC
rnacentral:rRNA from 1 species